AUUGAACGCUGGCGGCAGGCCUAACACAUGCAAGUCGAGCGGAUGAAGGGAGCUUGCUCCUGGAUUCAGCGGCGGGCGGGUGAGUAAUGCCUAUGAAUCUGCCUGGGAGUGGGGGAUAACGUCCGGAAACGGGCGCUAAUACCGCAUACGUCCUGAGGGAGAAAGUGGGGGAUCUUCGGACCUCACGCUAUCAGAUUAGCCUAGGUCGGAUUAGCUAGUUGGUGGGGUAAAGGCCUACCAAGGCGACGAUCCGUAACUGGUCUGAGAGGAUGAUCAGUCACACUGGAACUGAGACACGGUCCAGACUCCUACGGGAGGCAGCAGUGGGGAAUAUUGGACAAUGGGCGAAAGCCUGAUCCAGCCAUGCCGCGUGUGUGAAGAAGGUCUUCGGAUUGUAAAGCACUUUAAGUUGGGAGGAAGGGAAGUAAGUUAAUACCUUGCUGUUUUGACGUUACCAACAGAAUAAGCACCGGCUAACUUCGUG
rnacentral:rRNA from 1 species